rnacentral:rRNA from 1 species
GGCCAGACUCCUACGGGAGGCAGCAGUGGGGAAUAUUGCACAAUGGGGGAAACCCUGAUGCAGCGACGCCGCGUGAGUGAGGAAGUAUUUCGGUAUGUAAAGCUCUAUCAGCAGGGAAUAGAAAAGAAGGUACCUGAAAAAGAAGCCCCGGCUAACUACGUGCCAGCAGCCGCGGUAAUACGUAGGGGGCAAGCGUUAUCCGGAUUUACUGGGUGUAAAGGGAGCGUAGACGGAAAGGCAAGUCAGAAGUGAAAGCCCAAGGCUCAACCAUGGGACUGCUUUUGAAACUGUCAAACUAGAGUACGGGAGGGGCAGGCGGAAUUCCUGGUGUAGCGGUGAAAUGCGUAGAUAUCAGGAGGAACACCGGCGGCGAAGGCGGCCUGCUGGACCGUGACUGACGUUGAGGCUCGAGAGCGUGGGGAGCAAACAGGAUUAGAUACCCCCGUA